rnacentral:rRNA from 1 species
UACGAAGGGGGCUAGCGUUGCUCGGAAUCACUGGGCGUAAAGCGCUCGUAGGCGGCUUUUUAAGUCAGGGGUGAAAUCCUGGAGCUCAACUCCAGAACUGCCUUUGAUACUGAGAAGCUUGAGUCCGGGAGAGGUGAGUGGAACUGCGAGUGUAGAGGUGAAAUUCGUAGAUAUUCGCAAGAACACCAGUGGCGAAGGCGGCUCACUGGCCCGGUACUGACGCUGAGGUGCGAAAGCGUGGGGAGCAAACAGG